rnacentral:lncRNA from 1 species
UCUUAGUGAUUUAUUAGUAUUUGCUUCUAUCUGAGGGUAGUUUCUAUUCUCUUAUGCCCCAGUUCCAUUCCUGUUAGCCCGGUUUCUGUCCUUAGAGUCACUAAUGGAAUUCCAAGUUGAGAGUUGUUCUCUUAUUAGUAUAGUAGUCGGCGCGUUAAGAGCUAUAGUAUUGUUAUCACCAGUUAGAUUCUAUUCCUGUAUGCAAUAGAUCGUACUACCAAUAUAAGUAAAUAACAUAUUCUCAAUAUAAGUAAAUAAGCAGCAAUAGCAAUAAAGAAAGGAAUAAGAGACAUGGCAGUGAAAGUAAAGGGAGGCGGAGUGAAACUGGAGAAUCCAGAGGAGAAGUAAGAGUUCGGUGACCCAGCUACAAGUCGAGUUGGUGCUCUAAGAAUCAAAGGUAUAGCUGAUGGUCCGUUAGUCGAUACAGAUAACUAGGUUAGUUUGGGUAGUGACUACUGUAAUACGUAGGCUAGGGAGCAAAGGAAAGUCAGGCUUAUAUUGGCAAUAAGUAAUUCAAGUUAGGGGCAUAGCUAGGGGGAAUAGACGGAAUUGCUGGAUAGUAAGAGUGAUAACCAGUAAGGGCAAACCUAGAACGGAG